AGCAGCAAAAGCAACAUCCCAACCUUUGUUUUAUGCUUUUAUCCUCUUUUGUGUUGCCCCCGCUUGUCGUAGCCGCGGGAAUAUUUUCCUGUACAAAACACAAAAGAAGAGAGAAUGAAACUUUGUUCAUACUCGGGACAUUAUCAUUUUGCUAAUUACCACCAAACCAGUCACUAAGCUCAGCAAUUAAAAUUGAAAAAAAAAAAAAAAAUCCAAAUCUCUCAUUCGAUCAACGGCUCACAAAACCCUCAAAUCUUCUCUCCGGCAAAUUCUAAAAUAGUACUUUGGAAGCACCGAAUAAUCAACCCCUCCCCCCCCCUUUCUCUUAACCCCCCAAGCAAGCAAACUUUCUACAAGCUUCACCUCACGGACCUCACGAGGCCUUCAAUCCCGGCGGCUCCAUCCGCCAAAUCAAUGACACUUACACAAUUCCAUGCCCUAUCUGAAGAAGAGCAUCGACCCCGGAAACCCACCGGAGCCACUGGAAUGAGACUUAUAGUGCCACUUCAAGGUGUAGUUCAAGGCAGAGGAGGCCUGAUAUUAGGUUCUCUAAUACCUUGCGCUCUCGUCUACUUUUUCCAUGUAUACCUGAAACGACAUCGUUCUGCCAAUCCCUCUUCGAACCCUCCGUCGCCUUCCGCUUCAUCUCCAGACCUUGCGCAGAUCCCCAGGACGUCUUCGCGGUCCAACUUAUCGAGCCGGGGUUCGUUUGGCUCUGGUCGGGCAUCUAUAUCGACCCGGGCGAUGUCCAUUGCGAAGCCUAAUGAUUCCCCCUACUAUAUUGGGCUGGAUAAGGUUUCGGGGAAUCCGUAUGAUAGAACGAGUAAUCCGAAUGGGAUUAUUCAGCUUGGGUUGUCUGAGAACAGAUUGUGUCUAGAUUUGAUCGAGAACUGGAUGGCGAAGCAUCUGAGGGAUUCUAUACUGGGGACAGACGGUGUUGAGAUGAACAUUAAUGGUAUCGCGACAUACCAGCCGUUCGAUGGACUGAUAGAGUUGAAAGUGGCUAUGGCAAAUUUCAUGUCUCAGGUUGUGGGAAGAGCAGUCUCAUUUGAUGCAUCACAGAUGGUAUUAACUGCAGGUGCAACUCCUGCAGUUGAGAUUUUAUGUUUCUGCUUGGCAGACCAUGGAAAUGCAUUUCUUGUUCCAACGCCAUAUUACCCUGGAUUUGACAGAGAUAUGAGAUGGCGAACAGGUGUGGAGCUAGUACCUGUUCACUGCCGCAGCACUGACAAUUUCAUAUUGAGUGUCACUGCUCUUGAACAAGCUUACAAUCAGGCUAGAAAAAGAGGAUCGAAAGUUCGUGGCAUAUUGAUUUCUAACCCUUCAAAUCCUGUUGGCAAUUUACUGCCUCGCGAAACACUUUCUGAUAUACUAAACUUUGCCCAAAAGAAGAACAUCCACAUUAUUUCUGAUGAAAUAUUUGCUGGGUCUCUGUAUGGAGAUGGUGAAUUUGUGAGCAUGGCACAAAUUCUCGAGGAAGAAGAUUUUGACAAGAACAGGGUUCAUAUAAUAUAUGGUCUCUCAAAAGAUCUUUCUCUUCCAGGGUUUAGGGUUGGGGCUAUCUAUUCAUACAACGAAAAUGUCUUGACUGCCGCUAAAAGGUUGACUAGAUUUUCUUCUAUUUCUGCUCCAAGCCAGAGGCUGCUAGUUUCAAUGCUUUCAGAUGCAAGAUUCAUUACAGAAUAUAUCAAUACCAAUAAGAUGAGGAUUAGAAAAAUGUACGAGUUAUUUGUUGAAGGUUUGACGCAAUUAGGAAUCAAGUAUAUGCAAAGUAGUGCUGGCUUAUACUGUUGGGCUGAUAUGGGUAAACUAAUCCCCUCUUACAGUGAGAAAGGGGAACUUGACUUGUGGGAUAAGCUGUUGAAUAUUGCUAAGAUCAAUGUAACUCCUGGUUCAGCCUGCCACUGCAUAGAACCAGGGUGGUUCCGUUGCUGUUUUACUACUUUAACUGAAGAAGAUAUUCCUGUAGUCAUAGAACGGAUCCGCAAAGUUGCAGAAUCUCGUAAAUCUACUGGUUGAAUUAUAACCUUGAAUAGGAAACUUUUUUUCAGCCUUAAUUCCCUAUAGCAUUGCUAUAUAAGAGAGCACUUCUUCAACAAUCUACAUGGAGAAUUUCGAGCUGCUGAGUUGAUGAGAAACUUAAGUUCACAUUUAUGAGAAAUAAGAAUUCAACAUGUGGUUACAUCGGGGAAGUUAUAUAAUGAGUAUAUCCUUUCAAUUGGAAGUGGAAAGCUCUAACAAAUUGGUAGGAAAGCUUCAUGGAGAAAACUGAAUGCAGGGUGAUUCUGAACCGCAACACUUUGCUAUAUUAGCUUCAAUUUUGGAUGAUGCCUCUUCCUCUGCAAUCCUUCAAUCAUUUUGAUGCCAGUACCAAAGACACAGCAGCUUGUCUCUGGUAACUCCUCCGGCUCAUCAUUAUCAAUUCUCCUAGUGUUGGUGGCCUCUUUGUCACGACAUUAGUGUCACUUUCAUGAUCAAAAGUGCUGCUCUUUAGCUCUGGAGGCGUGUGGGAGCUGUUUUUGGAGUAGGAGACCUUCCCAAGGAAACCAGAAUUGGGUGGAUAUAGCGGAAAGAGACACUCCAAGAAAGAAGCCCCUGUAAGGCUUGCAAUGGUUUCAUAACUGCUGCUGCUUGUGCUGCUUUCAGUGUCAGAAGCAGGUGAGGAAGGGUUUUCUAACUGGUCAUUGAUGUCAUUUUUUGCGAAAGUUUUUGGCACUGGUACAGUAGUGGAAACUGCUGAUGACAAUACCAGGCAAUUUGCCAAGAGAGAGGGUGCGGAGCUGAAUGAAUCAUCAGUUUCAUAACUGUGUGAUUCAGGAUUUAAGUCAAAGGUUAUAAGUGCCGACUCUGUUGAUGACUGUGAGAAACAGGAUAGAGGCUUUCCAGGCUUUUCCUCCCAGUUGAAAGGAACAGAGGCAACAAGCCUGACUGGAGAUGGUAGAGCUAGAGCAGUAACUGAAGAAACAACAGGUCUCCAGCCCUUCUUUGCUACCCCUGGCCUUUCCUCCCAGAGAAAUGGAAUUGAUGGUGGUUGCCUGAUGUGCCUUCUUUUCGAGGGUUCUACGACUUCAUUCUCUUCCAUUCUGAGAAUAGGUAUGAGAAGCUAUGAUCAUUCCAUGUAUUGCAUCCUUAACUGUUCAUUUUCUAACAUAUUUAUAUAGAUAUAUGGCCGGAAGUAUGGUUACAGAGGUGUGUUGAUUUGUCACUAAAACUCUGCCUGCUAACCGCACCAUGUUUUGGAAAGAGGAGAUUAGGCGUACCUGCUCUCUCUACUUUCAUAGACACUAUUGCCUUAUGGUUUUGGUAAGAGUUUUGGCCAAAAUCGCCACUCAGCAAUGCCCGGCGUUUUUUUUAUUUGGGCCAUAGAGCAAUGACCCACUUACUAUUAUAAUAUAUGUAUAUACAUUAUUUAGUUCCUUUAAUUUUAAAAAUUUAUACUAGAUGGUUCCUCUUAUCAAUAC